rnacentral:rRNA from 1 species
AACGAACGCUGGCGGCGUGCCUAACACAUGCAAGUCGAACGAGAAAGGGGCUUCGGCUCCGAGUAAAGUGGCGCACGGGUGAGUAACACGUGGGUAACCUGCCUCUAAGAUUGGGAUAACUCGUCGAAAGAUGAGCUAAUACCGAAUAAGACCACAGUUCCCGCGGGAACAGGGGUCAAAGGUAGCCUCUGCUUGCAAGCUAUCACUUAGAGAUGGGCCUGCGCACCAUUAGCUAGUUGGUAGGGUAACGGCCUACCAAGGCAAAGAUGGUUAGCUGGUCUGAGGGGAUGAUCAGCCACACUGGAACUGGGACACGGUCCAGACUCCUACGGGAGGCAGCAGUGGGGAAUAUUGCGCAAUGGGCGAAAGCUUGACGCAGCAACGCCGCGUGAGUGAUGAAGGCCUUCGGGUCGUAAAGCUCUGUCGGGAGGAACGAAUGCUCCUGAGGUUAACAGCCUCGGGAGGUGACGGUACCUUCAAAGGAAGCACCGGCUAACUCUGUG